CACGUAGGGGGCAAGCGUUGUCCGGAUUUACUGGGCGUAAAGAGCGCGCAGGCGGCUGGUCAAGUCCGAUGUGAAAUCUCCCGGCUCAACUGGGAAACUGCAUCGGAAACUGAUCGGCUUGAAGAUGGGAGAGGGUAGUGGAAUUCCCGGUGUAGUGGUGAAAUGCGUAGAUAUCGGGGGGAACACCAGUGGCGAAGGCGACUACCUGGCCCAUUCUUGACGCUGAGGCGCGAAAGCUAGGGGAGCGAACGGG
rnacentral:rRNA from 1 species